AUGCUGAUGCAAGUGCUCAAAAUGAAGAGAUGUAUGAUCCUAAACAGCAGACACCAAGUGUCAUUCAUAAGCCAAUUUCUUCUAUGGCUUGUGCCAGCCAAGCUGAAGAAUUUGUUCCCAACUUUGAUGACCAUUUUGUUGAAGAUGAUGACCUUGCACAUUGUGAUGACGGCAACUGGAUGGCCAAUGGAGCUGAUCUCAUUGCCCAUUGUGAUGAUGACAACCAGAGGGACAACGAAGCUGGUGGUAGUACCCAACCUCAUCAGCAAUCUCAACCUGACAGUAACUUUGAAGGUCCACAAUCCUAUGAGGAGCCAAGGGAAAGGGGGGCCCAAUUUGGGGAAAGGUCUGGAAAGGAUCACUCGACGCCGGCAGGGCAAACUGCUGCUUCUCAUUCCAGAAGGAAGCUUACGGCCAGAGACACCUCUUCUGGCUGCAAAGUAUGCAAUCGAAUGCAAUGUCACAGUCAGACACCAUAUGCCCGUGUUUAAGCACUGGAAGGAUUACAAGGACCCAAAUGGAAAUGUCAGAGAUGGGAUCGUCAGGAACUUUGUAGGCAAAGUUGGUAACAUGUUUCAGAUGGCCCUAGAGGCGGUGCCAGUUAGGAAGGCUUGCACAGAAAUGCUGAAACACGCGACUCGCCAACAACGAUAUAGGCUCAAGAAAGAGUAUUUUGAUCCUCAUGCACCCCAUUUGGUGAGGAGAACUUCUCCGGUCCCCUCGAUGACUGAUGACCAGUGGAACGAGCUAGUGGAAAGCUGGAAGGAUCCCAAAAAGACGGGGAUAUCUCAAAUUAACAAAGCUAAUCGAGCUCAAGUUAAGUUCCACCAAACUACUGGAGCGCACAGCUACCCUGUGCACUGUGGAAAUCUGGGAGAAAAAUACAAGGAUGAAGAACCAACAGCAGUGGAUUUGUUCAAGGAGUGCCACUACAGCAAGAAAAAGAAAGGUUACACCAAUGUUGUGCUGGAUGCAAUUACCGAGAUGGAAAAGAAGGUUCCUAAUCCUACAGAAGAUGGUUAG
rnacentral:rRNA from 1 species